UAUGUACAUAGUAUAAGUCAAAAAAAAAAAAAAAAAAAAUAAAAUUAAACUAAAACAAAAAAAUUGGAAAACAAGUUUUCAAAUCAAGUUUAAACGCACAUAAACAAACUCUUUUCGGUUAAGAAAAUGUACGCGAAAGUGACAUGUGUAGGAAGAAUGUUUAAAAAAAUCUCCAAAUAAUCUAGUACAGUUGAAUGGCCUCAUGCAUAUUAGAGAAAAGAGAAAACGGACAAAAACUGACAACUUGAAACAAAAAAUCAACCAUCAAAAUAAAUCAAAACAACAAAAGAUUUCUUUGCUAUUAGCUCACACCAGUUAGAGCUUUUUGAAAUGGAAUUGGUCACCGAUUUUGAAAUCAUUGUUCAAAAAAACGCACAUUCAAAGUUUUACACUAAAUUUCGUUAAGUUAAAUUAAAUUAAGUUCAAAAAUGUGAACCAUUUCUUAAUAUAAGGAAUGCAUAUACUUUGUAGAUAUAUAAAAACCAUUAAAUGAUACUUUUGAAUAA